GACUGAACCAGGACUAAACCAGGUCUAAACCAGGACUGAACCAGGACUAAACCAGGACUAAACCAGGACUAAACCAGGACUGAACCAGGACUAAACCAGGUCUAAACCAGGACUAAACCAGGACUGAACCAGGACUAAACCAGGACUAAACCAGGACUGAACCAGGACUGAACCAGGACUAAACCAGGUCUAAACCAGGACUAAACCAGGUCUAAACCAGGACUAAACCAGGACUAAACCAGGUCUAAACCAGGUCUAAACCAGGACUAAACCAGGACUAAACCAGGACUAAACCAGGUCUAAACCAGGACUAAACCAGGACUAAACCAGGACUAAACCAGGUCUAAACCAGGUCUAAACCAGGUCUAAACCAGGACUAAACCAGGUCUAAACCAGGACUAAACCAGGACUAAACCAGGUCUAAAUCAGGACUAAACCAGGACUAAACCAGGUCUAAACCAGGACUAAACCAGGACUAAACCAGGACUAAACCAGGUCUAAAUCAGGACUAAACCAGGACUAAACCAGGUCUAAACCAGGACUAAACCAGGUCUAAACCAGGACUAAACCAGGACUAAACCAGGACUAAACCAGGACUAAACCAGGAC
ensembl:lncRNA